CCCAUGUAGUCCUCUACUGUAAUACCCCUGUAAAGUGACUAAGGAAACCCCUUGCAUGGGGAACCACAUAAAUACUGGAGCUCUGAAUAAAAUUGUCAGUUAACUCCCAGAACUGUGUUUCGUCUGGUUACUGGGGGGAUUUGGGAUAUUGCCUUCAUUUCCAGCGCUUCACUUGGAUUAUUAUCUGUACCAGCAGAGAUAUUGGGUUUUAACCUUGCAGCUCCGCUACAACAGUAACAAUGUAAAACACACCCCACCAUAAACAGUGAGAUUCCUCCUCUCUAUCCUGGAGAUAAUUGGGUUAUCUCCAGGUAGAGAAAAUAUUUCCAAGUUAUAACUGUAACAAAACACAUUAAAAUACAUAACUUAUAUUUCACAUCACUGAGCCCCCAUAUUCGACAUAUCCCCAGAUAGCGUGGAUCUGAUCACUCAAUAUAUCCGAAAAGCACUCAGAUCUCAUGAACACAGUCGAACCGCCAUGGAGUUAGAGGGUUGGCAUAAAUCUGUUCAGCAUGAGUUCCAUGGCUUUUAGCUAUCAGGGUCGGUCUAGUUUGUGAGUUUUUAAUGUACCGAACAAAGCUGCGUUUGUAUGAACAGAAACAAAGUGCAGGAAGUUUGGAAGUCCCAGCGGUGUUCUUGCUGGGCGUUCGACAGUUUAAGAUGACCGCUGCCACAUGUUCGUUCAUACGAAUGGCAACCACCCAGCUGUUCGUCAAUUAAGCUGCGUUUAACCACAGCUUCUGGGAGGUUAACUGUUUGCACACUCCACUUGCGGGUGGUCCGGCUGUUAGUCAGUUUGUUCGGUAAAGGAAAUAAAAGGGAAUAAAAUGGCAUACGAAAAGGGCACUGGUAUCCAUAAAACAGGGGUUUUGUCACACUUAUCUUAUAGUUAGGAUAGCCUUAUGCCUAUCCCACGCAUGCUUAAACUCCUUUACUGUGUUAACCUCUACCACUUCAGCUGGAAGGCUA